rnacentral:misc_RNA from 1 species
CCGACGGCACCGCCGCCGCCGC